AUUCUUGGACAAUGUGUGCAAGCCUGAUCCAGCCAUGCCGCGAGAGUGAAGAAUGCCUUCGGUAUGUAAAGCACUUCAAGUAGGGAGGAAGGGUUGUAGAUUAAUACUCUGCAAUUCUGUCGUCACCGACAUAAUAAGCAUCCGCUAACUACGUGCCCGCAGCCGCGGUAAUACGUAGGGUGCAAGCGUUAAUCGUAAUUACUGGGCGUAAAGCGUGCGCAGGCGGUUCGGCAAGAAGGAUGUGAAAUCCCGGGGCUUAACCUCGGAACUGCAUUCUUAACUGCCGGGCUAGAGUAUGUCAGAGGGGGGUAGAAUUCCACGUGUAGCAGUGAAAUGCGUAGAGAUGUGGAGGAACACCAGUGGCGAAGGCGACCACCUGGGCUAAUACUGACACUGAGGUGCGAAAGCGUGGGGAGCAAACAGG
rnacentral:rRNA from 1 species